AUCCUUUUGUAGUUCAUGAGCAUGAUGAUGGGGUGAUCACAUGUCUGUGUGAUAUGAGUCUCCCUCAAACCUUGUUCCGACAUCAGCACAUUACCUGUACGAUG
rnacentral:snoRNA from 1 species